AGUUAAUUAGCUUAUAAAAGCUUAUAUUUUGAAAGUAUAAGAAAAAGGUUAACCCCUUUAUUAACUU
rnacentral:tRNA from 1 species